CGCCCCCCCUGCCCACCUCCUCCUCCCUCCAUUGUUGCAGCCACCAAAACCCUAGCCGCCCCCCCCCCCAAUCCCCUCCUCCCUAGGUGCUACUCCGUGCCGCUCGGAUCAUUGUCUUUUGGUGCGAAUCUCCAAUCGUUUUGGUGGAAGGAAGAAGGGAGGAAGGAAAAGGGGAGAACCCAAGGUGGUGGACUUCCGGAUCGUUCUUAGGGAUUUUGCCCGAACUUCGGUAAAGGCAAGUAAAAUAGUGAUGGUUAUUUCGUCUUUUGAUUGAAGAGUCUCAUACUUGAUUAUGUUUGUGCUAUUUGUGUUCGUAUCCAUAUUCCUAAUUGGGUACCAUCGUUUGAAAUUAUUCAUGCUUUAUUGAUUAUACAUGUGGAGGGUGUGGUUUGAUCAUGUUACCCAUGUGGUUAUUGAUGUGAAAUGGGUGGAAGUAUAUGUCUAGCACAUUUUAUUUGGGAAGAACUCAUGUUGUUGACAUGCAUAAUGCAUUCAUCAUCCAUUGCAUUGAAGUUUUCGUCGCGAUCUUAUGGUCCGACCGUACCGGUACAAUGAGCAUCAUAUGUUUCCCGAGAAGGGGUAUGAUGCAGCUUCAUAUCCUUAGAGGUAUGAAGGCAGAAGUCAUGUUGCAUCUGUAGCCAUGUGCAUUCAUGGGUGAAGUGUGGAACCUAUUUUGGUGAUGUGGAUAAGGUGGAUCUUUACUUUGUAAUUCAUCUUGGCAUUGAGUAAUUGAUUACUUGCUUACUUGCUGCAAAUUAAUAUUCAAGGAAGAAGUUGGGAACCAUGUGGUUGCUUAUGCACGGUUGGCUUGCAUUGUCCAACUGUUGUUUGUUUUUUUUUACUUGCUGAGAUGUGUCAUCUCACUCUUGCAUUGUCUGAUGCAGGCACCUGAUCUUUGCUUUGGGAAAGAAGGGAUGUAGCAGCACGGCCACCACACUUUUAAAUAAAGGAAUAACUGAUUAUUAAUGAUGUUAAACAGGAAGGGUCAAGUCUAGGGAAUUAUUACAUUCUAAUCUUUCAUGGUAGUUGAACUGUUUAGUUUGGUGGGCUGAGAUGUCUAUCUUUUGUCUGGUCAUGAAUGUUCUUUUCUACCGUUGCAUUUUGAUUAUACUAUGGCAAUUAUCUUUCUUUUAUAUCCUGUAUAAACUAUAUGCUUCCCUUGUUAUGCUACUUUCAAGGGAGGUGCUGCCGGAUUUUGCAAUACUUUCUUUCUCUAUGUGUUGCAUAAGUCUUGUAGAAAGGUUUUUUUGGUAUCAUCCAUUGUGUGGGAUCAGUGGGGUGUUACAGUUGGUAUCAGAGCAUAGGCUGUAGGUCCUAGCAAGUGGAGUAGUAAUAAAUUGACACACUGCACAUGUAGGAUGGGUUUUCGGUCUUGCUAUUGAUAUGAUUAUGUUAUUCUCUGUGCUAGUUUUGACAUUAUCUAGAGAGAUGCUAUGCUUAUCUCAUAUACUUAUUAUUCUCAUCCCUGUGGAUACAGCUAUGCCGCCUCGUAGAGCUCGGGGUAGUCCGCAAGCUCCUAGUGGGGACUCGAUGAGUCCGGCGGCAAUGUUAGCCGCGAUGCAGGCCAUGCAGCAGGAGUUGGCCCUUCUGAGGCAAGCCAUUCCUGUCGCCCCUGCAGGUGCUGCUCAGGGAGCUGGAGGUGGAGAAGUGCCCGGGGGCGCUGUCCCUGCGGGUGCUGUUCCUGGUGGCGGGGCCGGGGUGCCUCUUCCUGUCAGUGGUCUUUCUCUGAUGCAGUGGAUGGGCAUGAAG
rnacentral:lncRNA from 1 species